rnacentral:rRNA from 1 species
UACGGAGGGGGCUAGCGUUGUUCGGAAUUACUGGGCGUAAAGGGUCCGUAGGCGGUGCGGUAAGUCGGGAGUGAAAUCUCUGGGCUUAACUCAGAGGCUGCUUCCGAAACUACCGUGCUAGAGUGCGAGAGAGGCAAGUGGAAUUGCGGGUGUAGCGGUGAAAUGCGUAGAUAUCCGCAGGAACAUCCGAGGCGAAAGCGGCUUGCUGGAUCGCAACUGACGCUGAGGGGCGAAAGCUAGGGGAGCAAACAGG